UCCCAGGUGGCUCAGAUGGUAAAGAAUCUGCCUGCAAUGCAGAAGACCUGGGUUCAAUCCUUGAGCUGGGAA
rnacentral:tRNA from 1 species